UACGGAGGGGGCAAGCGUUGUUCGGAAUUACUGGGCGUAAAGCGCACGUAGGCGGUUUUGUAAGUCUGGGGUCAAAGGCGACAGCUCAACUGUCGUAAGGCCUUAGAUACUAUAGAACUGGAGUGCCAGAGAGGAUGGCGGAAUUCCUGGUGUAGCAGUGAAAUGCGUAGAGAUCAGGAGGAACACCGAUGGCGAAGGCAGCCCCCUGGGCCUGUACUGACGCUCAUGCACGAAAGCGUGGGGAGCAAACAGG
rnacentral:rRNA from 1 species